UGGAAGUGCACGACCGUGUACCUUGCUUCCUUGAUGGAUCCACUCUAAGCGACUCUUCGGAUGGUUCACUUGGCUCGCCUGUGAGAGCGUCACAAGAGGAUCCCUUAGGAGAGCUUCUGUCCAGGUCCAAGGUGGAAGGCGGUCAGGGUUGUGGCAGUGCGAGGCCUGGUGUCGUACAUCGUCCAGUUGGACAACGGCGAACGCCAUCACAGGCACCGGAACCAGUUGAGGAGCGCCUGGACGAGGCUCGAAGCCGAUCCAGUCUGAAGUGCAGACUACCACGUCAGGCUGCCUCCUACAGCCAGACGACCACAACAGCCGCCGGUCAGCACGGAAGCAGCCGCAGGGGCAAGACCGGGCCAAGCUACCCAAGACCCGGUCGAGACGCGAAGAUCAACACACGUUAGACGGCCUAUCGCACGUUAUGGCAUUGAUGACUAACCAGACAUUUUGCAAUUGUGUAACGAAUCUUAGGGGAAAGGAAUAUUGUAUAUUGAUAUCGCGUGUCAUACUACAUUUUCAUGAUAAUCGCUUAUCGGCCACGCAAGCAUCAGUCGGCAGAUCACAUGUUCAUCACCCUAUAAAAAGGGCACGGCAUCAAUAGACGUCUGUUCCACCCUGGCGUCCGGCUAAUACGCUACACUUUCUUUUCGAGAGCAGUUUACUGUUGUUAACAAUUUCUCUUCCCCGACUUCUGUUAGCUCUGGUGUGCCACAAGGCAGCGUCCUCGGCCCCUUACUCUUCUCAAUCUCCAUUAACGACUUACCCGCCCAGAUUACUUCCUGCAUGCGCCUUUUUUCCGAUGACUGCGUAAUCUACCGUCCUAUUCACACGACUGACGAACUUCAAGCAGAUCUUAACCUUAUCGCUAACUGGUGUAACAAAUGGCUCAUGACACUAAACUGUACAAAGUGCGAGGUGAUGUGCUUCAGCCGAAAAUGUGUAAGUUCUAAAAAUUCAUAUCAUCUUAAUAACACUAUGUUUUCCCACACUUCAUCAUAUAAGUACCUUGGUGUUGUUCUUGCAGAGAAUCUUUCAUGGACCCCACACAUCACUUCUACAUACACCAAAGCAUCACAUUCUCUUGGCUAUCUACGGCACAACUUGCGAAAUGCCCUGCCAAACAUUCGAAAACUCGCUUUCCACACAUUCAUUUUGCCACAGUUAGAAUUCGCCUCCCCAAUUUGGUCCCCUCAUCAAAAUUACCUAAUAAAUAUGACGGAAAUGAUACAAAACAGAGCAGCCCGGUUCAUAUCCCAUAACUACAGUAGAAACUCAAGCAUUACACAAAUUAGACUAGACCUACUGUUGCUGCCAUUAGAUGUCCGCCGCAACAUCGCUCUUCUCUGCUUAUUCCACAAAUAUAUUUACACUAAUAAACGAACCCGGUUACAAAUACAAAUACCACACUCUUUUUCACGCAGAUUACAUAAUCAGUUGAGUUUCAUGCGCACAUAUGCUAAAACAAAUGCAUUUAAUUCAUCUGCACUACCACGUGUCAUUCGUCUCUGGAAUGACCUCCCUGAUAACACAGCCUCCAUAUCUAAUCCCGACACGUUCAGCUCUCAGUUACUCAUGCUUUUCCCAUUUAAUACCAUUCACGAGUGACAAAUCUAGUGUAUGUUAUCGUGUAUUUUUGCCAUGUUGUAUAUCAUUUUCAGAAACGGUAUUCCUUUGGUCUGUUAACAGUAACAAGUGUUCAUGUGCCUUCAGAUAUUGCUUUGUAUUCCUAGUGCCUUCAAUAUUGUGUAACACGGUAAUCUCUUUCUGGCACUGUUCCUCUUGGAAAUUUGAACGUUUUAUAUCUUUACUGUUUAAUAUGCCCCCCUUAAUUACUUUAUGCCCUGCCAUAAGGCCUGUAAGGUUCUUUUGAAUAAAUAAAUAAAUAUUUGCUUUUUGGCCUUUAUAUGUAUAUGUAUGAGGUGACAAUAAAAGAUUAAUUGUAUUUGGAA